AUUCAUUCAUUCAUCAUAAACACUGGUGUACUUUUAGAACAUGUGAUGGAUGUAAAUAUUUUAUAUCCUUGAAUAUCAUCAAAUAUCGCAAAACACUGAAUGCAGAAGGUUUAAUUUUAUUGAUAUGUGUACUAUAGAAUCGCUAAACCGUCGGGGAAAAUACUUGCAGUAAAUAAUGAUGUUCCAAGCAGAAGCAAUGUGCUAUCAUUGAGUUCUUGAC